AAUAAAUAAAAUAAAAUAAUAAAAUAAAUAAAAUAAAAAUAAAAUAAAUAAAAAGAAUAAAAGAAAAAGGAAAAGAAAGACAAAAAGAAAAAGAAAGAAAAGGAAAAGGAAAAGAAAAAAGAAGAAGAAAGAAAAAAGGAAAAGGAAAAGAAAAAAAGAAUAAAGGAAAAGGAAAAAAAGAAAAAGAAAAAAAAGAAAAAAGGAAAAGAAAAAGAAAGAGAAAAGGAAAAGAAAAAAGAAAAAGAAAAAGAAAAAAGAAAAAAGAAAAAAGAAAAAAGAAAAAAGAAAAAAGAAAAAACCUAACAUUUUACUUAAGGAACGUGGAGGAGGAGGCGGCGCAGGGUCCUCACGGCCGGAAGUAGAACCGUAGGGAUGGAGAGGGAGGGGGGUGGAGAAAGGGGCGGAAGCCGGCUCUCGCGAGAGGCGAGAUGACGGCUUCGGCCAAUCAGCGCCGGCGGCGGGCGCGCCCUUUAUAAGCGGCGGCGGCGGGCGGCGGCGGCCGAGGUCGCGGAGGGUGGGCCCGGGAGAGGCGGCGGCCGGCCUCCGUCUAACCCUAACUGAGCAGGGCGUGGGCGCCGCGCUUUUGUUCCCCGCGCGCUGUUUUUCUCGCUGACUUUCAGCGGGCGGAAAAGCCUCGGCCUACCGCCGUCCACCGUCCGGGUCUGCAGCCAACAACAAAAAAUGUCAGCCGCUGGCUCGCUCGCCCCUCCCGGGAGCCUGCGGCCGCUCGCCCGCAGGGCGGGGCUCGGGCCGCAGGGAGAGCAACGGAGCGGGUCCCCGCGCGCGGUGCGUCUCCCUGAGCUGUGGGACUCGCACCCGGGACCGGGCUCGCACACGCGCCGCGCGGGGGGCGCUGCGGGGGCGCUGCGGGGGCGCUGGGGGGCGGCGGGGCGGCCCCUCCCCGGGGCGGGGGCGCCUGCGGGUCUGCACCCCGGGGGGAGGGGAGGGGGGGAGGGCGCGGGGGAGCCCUGCAGGCCCAGGCCUCCCUCCUCCCUCCCCUUUUAUCUUGCAGAUUUCGUUGAGGUUUUUCGGGUUUUUUUUUUUUUUUUUUUUUUUUUUUUUGCCUUUGCCAAGGUAGAAUUUCCAUUUCUCAGCCGGGUGCCAGGUCGUUAG
rnacentral:lncRNA from 1 species